UUUUUUAUUUGAUUUUUACUUACAAUUUUAUCCCUCAGUUUUUAGUUUUAGUUGAUUUUUGUAUGAAGUUUGGUCCUCAUUCUUUUGAUUGUUUUUUUUAUUUUAAUUGCUUUUUUUUCUCAAUUUCAUCCCUCAUAAUUUGAUUUCAUUUUAUUUUUAUAUCAAAUUUAGUUCUUAUUCUUUCAAUUGCUCUUUGUUUUAUGUUAGAUCAUUUUCUAUUGAUUUUUUUCUCUAUUUCAU
rnacentral:lncRNA from 1 species